UCCUUUAGGACACGAAGUGGUUGAUGCCAUGCUUCCAGGAAAAGCUUCUAAGCUUCAGGUAACCAGGAACCGUACCCCAAACCGACACAGGUGGUUGGGUAGAGAAUACCAAGGCGCUUGAGAGAACUCGGGUGAAGGAACUAGGCAAAAUGGCACCGUAACUUCGGGAGAAGGUGCGCCGGUGAGGGUGAAGCAUUUACUGCGUAAGCCCACGCCGGUCGAAGAUACCAGGCCGCUGCGACUGUUUAUUAAAAACACAGCACUCUGCAAACACGAAAGUGGACGUAUAGGGUGUGACGCCUCCCCGGUGCCGGAAGGUUAAUUGAUGGGGUUAGCUAACGCGAAGCUCUUGAUCGAAGCCCCGGUAAACGGCGGCCGUAACGAUAACGGUCCUAAGGUAGCGAAAUUCCUUGUCGGGUAAGUUCCGACCUGCACGAAUGGCGUAACGAUGGCGGCGCUGUCUCCACCCGAGACUCAGUGAAAUUGAAAUCGCUGUGAAGAUGCAGUGUAUCCGCGGCUAGACGGAAAGACCCCGUGAACCUUUACUAUAGCUUUGCACUGGACUUUGAAUUUGCUUGUGUAGGAUAGGUGGGAGGCUUUGAAGCGUGGACGCCAGUCUGCGUGGAGCCAACCUUGAAAUACCACCCUGGCAACUUUGAGGUUCUAACUCAGGUCCGUUAUCCGGAUCGAGGACAGUGUAUGGUGGGUAGUUUGACUGGGGCGGUCUCCUCCUAAAGAGUAACGGAGGAGUACGAAGGUGCGCUCAGACCGGUCGGAAAUCGGUCGUAGAGUAUAAAGGCAAAAGCGCGCUUGACUGCGAGACAGACACGUCGAGCAGGUACGAAAGUAGGUCUUAGUGAUCCGGUGGUUCUGUAUGGAAGGGCCAUCGCUCAACGGAUAAAAGGUACUCCGGGGAUAACAGGCUGAUACCGCCCAAGAGUUCAUAUCGACGGCGGUGUUUGGCACCUCGAUGUCGGCUCAUCACAUCCUGGGGCUGAAGCCGGUCCCAAGGGUAUGGCUGUUCGCCAUUUAAAGUGGUACGCGAGCUGGGUUUAGAACGUCGUGAGACAGUUCGGUCCCUAUCUGCCGUGGACGUUUGAGAUUUGAGAGGGGCUGCUCCUAGUACGAGAGGACCGGAGUGGACGAACCUCUGGUGUUCCGGUUGUCACGCCAGUGGCAUUGCCGGGUAGCUAUGUUCGGAAUAGAUAACCGCUGAAAGCAUCUAAGCGGGAAACUAGCCUCAAGAUGAGAUCUCACUGGAACCUUGAGUUCCCUGAAGGGCCGUCGAAGACUACGACGUUGAUAGGUGGGGUGUGUAAGCGCUGUGAGGCGUUGAGCUAACCCAUACUAAUUGCCCGUGAGGCUUGACC
rnacentral:rRNA from 1 species